rnacentral:rRNA from 1 species
UGCGAGGGGCGCAAGCGUUAAUCGGAAUUACUGGGCGUAAAGCGCGCGUAGGCGGCUUGAUAAGUCAGAUGUGAAAUCCCCGGGCGUCAACCUGGGAACGUGCAUUUGGUAACUGGAAGACUAGAGUGUAGCAGAGGGGGGUAGGAAUUCCACGUGUAGCAGUGAAAUGCGUAGAUAUAGGAAGGAACACCAGUGGCGAAGGCGACCACCUGGACUGAUACUGACACUGAGGUGCGAAAGCGUGGGGAGCAAACAGGAUUAGAUACCCGAGUAGU